rnacentral:misc_RNA from 1 species
GUAUCUACCUAUAUUCAUUAGCAAUUUUCAGCUUCCUAAAAAACAUAUUUUUACCAUAUGGUUUUAUUUAAAUAAUCGAAAAUAAAAUACCCCUUUUAAUUGUGCGAUCUUUGUUUUUUAGAAUAAAUUAAUGCAGUUGAGCAAAAUUAGCAGAACAGCCAUGCCAUUUAAUAGUUUAAAUGGUAAAUAUGUUAAUUCUAAGUCAAUUGAGAGACUUAUUUCAAUAAAAGAUGAUGAGAACAUACCAGGUGUUGAGGAUAUUUCGAUCAUUAGUGCUUCUCAAGAUAUUAAACAGAUUAAGGAAAUAAUUCGAAAUAAUCACUGGAGUAUUGACCAUCCUAUUCGUCAAAAUUUAUGGGAAUGCUUGACUAAUCAAAUAUCCACUGAUGAGCACAUUGAUAUUUAUCAUGAAUUAGUAAAAGAUCUAUUUGGCGACAACUACUACAAUUGCAGUUUGCCUUCAUUUGUAGAUCCAGCCUACUGUAUUCGCUAUCAUCUGAAUACAGAUGGAAAACAAACAGUGGAAAAAAUCCUUCAGAUUAUUCGUCAGUCAAAGCCAGAUAUAACAUAUUGCCCUGUUUUAUACCCAUUAAUAAGCAUCUUUUUACAUUACAUGUCUGAAGAAAUGGCUUAUUCUUGCACAAUGAAGAUAUUAUCAGACAAACAAAAUUACAUUUCACAAACCAAAGGAGAUCAUACAGCUUCUGCCUAUUUAGUCAUGAAGCUCUGUAAAAAAUAUGCUAAAAAUGCUUAUCUUCAACUUGAAAAAGAACUCAAAGAGCAUGAAGACUUGGAAAACAUGUUUCAAAAUUGGAUAUCCUGGAUUUUUAAAGGAUUACCAUUCACAUAUUUGGUUCGCAUUGUUGAUUGUUUCCUGGUGGAUAAGAAGAAAAGCUUAUAUCGAAUAGUUAUUGCUUUGUUGAUACUAUAUAAUAAAAAUGUUGACAAAUCAACUUCUGAAGAUCUUGGAAGUUUGCAAAAGUUAAUGGAUUUUUUCCAAAAUAUUCCUGUUCCUGUUGAAAAAGUCCUUAAAAUGGGAUAUGGCAUACGAGGAUUCAGUGAAAAACUUGUGAACCAACAACUAGUCAAGGUACAGAUGACCUUAAAAAGUCAUACAAAUCUAGGAGGACGAUCACAAUCUGCAGAUAGAUUGUCCCCUUCACAAUCUGGAUAUCAUUUGGGGAUCAACUCAUCAGAUCAACCUAUUAUCAGACAAUUGAAAAUGGAUUCAUCUUGUCGAACGAGGUCUGUUGGUGUUGUGGCUUUGGGCAACUUCAAAUCUUGCAUUAUCACCCCUGAACAGAUGAGUGUUAUUUGGAGUUGGCUACCUUUAAGAAUUUCCAUGUCUCAACCAGAAGUAAUUUAUUCUUCAAAUGAACACGGUGUGUGCCUAACAGCAUUUUACAUGACUGUAGGAGAGUGGGAACCUACAAUUUUACUUAUCAAGUCUACAAGUGAUGAAGUUUUGAACUUAUUUUUUAUCAGAUUAUUGGAGCGUAUUGUUCUUCAGCUUGGAAUGAGAGAAAUUCAAGUGAUGUUCAGAACAAAAAGUACACAUAUUUUGGAAAUGGGGAAACAUUUCUAUUUACUAUUUCUCCUGAACUGAGAAAGUAUCACUGGGUUGGAUCUGUGUCUGGUGAAGAUGUGCCUCAUUCUGCAAAAUUAUUUAUGGCAGCAGAUAACCAUAUGAUCAAUGUUGGUGCUGGCAAUGGACAGGGCCUUUUACUGGAUGACAACCUUCUUUAUGGAAGAACCGAACAUUGUGAUACAUUCGACAAUGAGCCACUGUGCAGCUCAAAUAAUUUUCAGUGUAAAGUAGUUGAAGUUAUUGGCUUUAAGUAAUC